rnacentral:misc_RNA from 1 species
CUUCGCAGCCCAUGGCCCAGGUACCCAUUUAUACUUGUGGAUUGUCUUUCUGGUUUUCCAUGGAUGUUUGUGUUCUGUACAUGUAAUUUUGGAGUUUUGAAAGAAUAUUUGCUUGAUGUAUUGGAGAUUUUUGUUUUCUGUGCUGUAAUGUCUCUUUGUAGAUGGUUCUGCUGGUAGAUUGGGAUUUUUUUGUUCAAAUAUAUAUAUGUAUAUAUUUUGGGUUUGGGGAGUUGAUCAUUUCAUUUAUUCUACUAACAUUUCUCUUAUUGUUUAGGUGGUGUCUUGAACAGCUUUUAGUUUCAUUUUAGUUGUUUUUUCUUCUAUUAUUGCAACAGAGACCUGAUUGUUAUGUGUAUAUAUUGCUUUUAUUUUAUCUCUGUAAUUAGAUUUUUUGUUGAUUUUUCUUUGUGUGAAAUUUGGGUUCUGUUUAUCAGACUCCUGAAUUGUUUCUUUCUGUAAUCCAUAAAAUUUUCCAUGUAUCCUAUAUUUGGUGAGGUACUUAUUCUUCGUUCCCAUUUCUCUUUUGUGUAAAUGAUUUUGGUUGUAUUUAACAGAUUCAUUAACAUAUAUAGUCAUGUAUACAUCUGAUGUUAAACUGUUUUGUUGUUGAAGAUAUAUAGAAAGAUAGGGCAGAAGUAUGGAGUGGAAUACUCAGAGGAUGAGAUACUGAACAGAUAUAGAAGGGCUUAUGAGCAACCUUGGGGUAGAUCUCGGCUCAGGUCUGUUCCUUUCUCCCUUUCUUUAUAUAUUUAUUUAUUUAUUUUUUCCAUUUCCUUGUUUUAGUGCUUGUUGUGCCCAUUACUUUGAGUUUCUUUACAGCUGUUCUUUUUGUUUGAGCAACAAGGCAAAACCAUUAAUCAUAUUAGCAAAUGGAUUCAUGGGUUUCCUUUUAAUUAAAUUAGAUUUUACUAUCUUCUAAGCUUAGCUAGUAGUUUUAUGGGUCUCACACUGGGCUAACAAACAUUCAUACUUGAUUGACUAGUAGAGGUUAACCAACCUUUUUACUUUUUUCUUUCUCUGUCAAAUAGUUUGGGGAGGAGGAAAAAGAUUGGGAAGAAGGUCCCACAUCCUGCUUUAGAGGCUUGAUGAUGUCCUCAUCUGUAGCAUUUAAUAUCCUUGGUUUUCUAACUUUUUCAGCAGAUUGAGUGAUGGUUGUUGGAGUAAAGAAAGAUAAUUGUUAUGCUUCUUUUGAAUCUGAAAAAGCUCAGGAGAAAUGAAAAGGAGGAGAAACAUUGCAUGAGAUUUACUGUAUAUGCAAUGCUCAUAUCUGUAAUAGCGAUAACUUUAAUUUUGGUCACGUUUAAUGUAAUUGUAUAUUACAUCCCAUAACAAGUCAUUUUCCCAAAUGUGCUACCGUUGUAAAGGUUGUUGAAAUGCAUUUUGUUUUCAAUUCUCACUUAAUUCUCAAUAACUUGAUUCUUUUUUUUUUAUUCUUUUUAUUUUUUUAAUAAAUAUUGCAGAUAUGUAAAUGAUGGAAGACCUUUCUGGCAAUUCAUAGUCAGUUCUUCUACUGGCUGCUCAGAUUCUCAGUACUUUGAAGAACUUUAUAACUACUAUACUACUGAAAAGGCUUGGCACCUUUGUGAUCCUGAUGCUGAGAAAGUAUUCAAGGCUAUUAGAAAGGCAGGUGUAAAGUUGGCUGUUGUGUCUAAUUUUGACACUCGACUUAGACCUCUUCUGCGGGCCUUAAAUUGUGAUCAUUGGUUUGAUGCUGUGGCAGUUUCAGCUGAAGUAAGAAUCAGUACUUCUCUUACCCCCUUCCUCUCUCCUUGGAAGACUCUAAAUGGAGAAUAUAUGUGGGAAAAUUAUGCUCUUUAUGUUUUGUAUGUUGUACUUGAAACUUUCACAGCCUUUAUACGGUUCUCUCGUUAGUAAAAAAAAUUUUCUUGCUUUUAGACAAUUAGAAACAAAAGAAGUUCGGUUCAUCCUUAUCUUAUUUGUGUAUUUGCUUAAUUUGUAUGAGAUUCUUCAUUAUCUGCAUGAUUCAUUCGUAUAGAUUGAUUUACAUUGAGAGAAAAAAAAUGAUGGGAUGAUUUGUUGAAAGUUGAAACAUGAAGUUAAAAUCAGAUUCCUUAAAGGAACUCAUUCUUAAAGUACUUACAUAAAUUGCAUAGCUUUUGGUGACAUUCUGAUCACCUUUCAAAUUCUUUUUACAAUGAAGUCAAGUACGCUGAAAAGAAAUGGCCCUGCAUUUAUCAUGGUCAUUUUGGCAAUGAGUUAAGGUCUAGCUAAAGAUCGUAAGGGGAAUUUGGGUUCUUUUGUACCAAAAACAAUUUUAGUUGGAGAACUUCUAAAGCUUUCUUGAUGAAUUCAUUAUUGACAGUUUACUGUUCUCUCUCUAAACAGGUUGCUGCUGAGAAGCCAAAUCCAACAAUAUUUCUAAAGGCCUGUGAGUUACUGGGAGUAAAACCUGAGGAUGCUGUGCAUGUAGGUGAUGAUCGUAGGAAUGAUAUAUGGGGUGCAAGAGAUGCGGGCUGUGAUGCUUGGCUAUGGGGAAGCGAUGUCCACUCCUUUAAGGAGGUAGGCCUUCAAUAUUCAAUAAAAAUGAGUUGAAAUUGAAAGCAAGGAAGAUACAAUAUCAAACAUCUAGGGAAAAGAGAAUCGCUUCCUGUUUGCAGUUUAUCAAAUCUAAUGAUUGAAUGGGGGUCAGAAACUCAGAACAUAGUUUCAAGUUUAAGAAUAUGGUAAAUAAUAUGCAAAUUGGAGAUGAACUUUUUCGAGUUUCAUGCCAUAUUGGUCUAACUUACUAUUUUACAUCUUUGAUGAGGAUAAGGAUCUGACAUGCCAAGAGUGCCUUUUUCUGGGAUCUCAGCCUUUUGUUGUUAGCUAGUGUCAGCAACUAGUCAACUUCAGAUGAAUUUGCAAUACAUCAUAGUCUCACUCUCUUAUUUUGCCAUCAAUUCAUUAGCAGUUUUGUGAUUGGUGUCAAUAAAUUUAUUGAUUCAUUAUCAUGUUACUUCAAAUCAAUAACUGACCUUGAACAUAUUGAAUUAUCUUGGAAUUAUACCAUUAUACUAAAAAAAAAAAAGAAAAUCAUGUAAUUAUAUUCAAAUUGGUAUUGCAUGUACUUACAAAAGUAUGUCCUAUUUGAUUUUUGCUGAAGCAGGUUGCACAAAGGAUAGGGGUGAAGAUUUGAGAGCAUUUUCAUUUGCAGCAUGGUGGAGGUUCUAUUUGUGUACAGGUACUAUAGAUCUUAAUAAGAGGUUGUGUGUAGUGGCCUGGCUGUACUUUGUAGAGGGGAGAGUUCUGAGGCCAUAGCCAGUGUGAUAGCAGAACAGAUAGAGUAAAGGUAGUGAGCAAUAAUAUAGCCUUCUCUUUUCAAUUCCUUCCUUUCCUUAAGGCAUGUUUCUUCUUGUUGAUUAUGCAUAUAAACAUGUUGCAAAUGAGCAGAUGAUCAGUUGCAUGGUUAUCACAUAACAAGAGAAGAUCAAAUCCCUCUUCACGUAAGUCAUUUGACUUCAUCCAACAAGAUUGAAAUUGGAAACAGUUGCAGAAUUUUUAGACAUUCAUUCAAACUGAAGUCUGAUAAGAAAUUAAUUACAUCUAAUGUCAAUAUUCCAACAAUUAUGACAUUUUUGCAAGAAUAAAACAGCCAUUCACAAAUCUAAUGUGAACUUGAUUACUCAACUAGGAGAGCAUUAUUUACUUCUCAAUAGAAAAUUUCCAACUCAUGAAAAAAAAAACUAUAAUCUAAUCAGAAAAUUCUUGGUUAGACAUGAUACAUAAUGAAUUCAAGACAUUAUAUACGAUGAAACUAACAUAUUAUAUCGGUGGGAUUCACAUAGGUGAAUUUUAUUAUGUAUAAUAUGUGUUGAAUUUAUGAUGAAUCAGUUUGAUAAACUAAAAAGAUAAAGAAAAAGUAAAAGAAAAAUAUAGGGUAAGAGUCCAUUACCAUAAACCUAAGCAGUGUAUUGAUGCAGAAAUGAAGCAAAAAAAUCUAAUAAAAUAGCAAAAAAGCAACCAAAACCUUGCCAAAAUUUAUUCCAGCAAAAUCGCAGAAAGGGCAAAUCCAACGUCUUAUAAGUAUUUUUUAUAAACGUCUCAGAUUCAAACCCACAACAUCAAACGGCAUCAAACGGCUAUGAGUCAUCAUUAGAAGCAUGAUAACCUAGGAGGCACCGUAUCAUAUCUUUGCUUCAGAGAAAGAAAACCGCUUCUAUUCGUUUCAAUCUCUUCUCAGUUUCUCACGUUGUCCACUAACUGCCUAAACUGCACUAUAUAGGGUAACCUAUCCUCCAUUGUUACAGUUUUUCCAGUCUUCUCCGACCUUAAUAAUUUCUAUCCUCUAAUUUCCUUUGCCAAGAUGACCAACGACAACACUGAUUCUGCCUUGGAUUUCAAUUUCCCAUCAUCUUCUUCGAUCCCUGCUGCGAUCCCAUGCUACCAUCAUGAGAAACUGAGAAAGAAGCGAACCAAGUUGAUAAAGAUUGAACCCAGUUUAGUUCCUCCUACUACUAGUGUUUCUGUUGUCACCAAGCCAAAAUAUCAGGGCAAAAAACCUGACCCUUCUGCUCCUAAGAUCACUAUGCCUUGUAGCGAGUGUGGUAAAAAGUUUUGGUCCUGGAAAGCACUCUAUGGCCAUAUGAGAUGCCAUCCUGAGCGCCUAUGGCGUGGGAUUAAUCCACCGCCUAAUUAUCGCAGACCUGUUUCUCCAAUUCCAGAGAUGGGUAAUGUAGAGGAAGCUGCAAUGACUUCAGAGGAUUAUGAAGCGGCUGCGUGUUUGUUAUUGUUGAAUGAUAGUGAUGGUGCAACAACAUUGGCCGAGAUGGAAUGCCGCGGCGGUGGUGGUAGUGACAGUGGUGAUGGUGCCAGACGUAGUAGUUUUCAUGUUCAUGAAGACUUGAAUUGUCGUUUUGAAUGCUUGAGUUGCAAGAAGGUGUUUGGAUCGCACCAGGCAUUAGGGGGUCACAGGGCAAGUCACAAGAACGUGAAAGGCUGCUUUGCAAUGAAUUGUGAGAUGGUUGAGGAUCACACUGGAAGUGGUGGCGGCGGCUGGCGUGGUCUGAAGGAGAAUGUGGAGGAUAAUAGUAUUGAUAAUAAGAUGUUGAUGGUGUUAGGGCACAAAUGCAGUAUCUGUUUGAGGGUGUUCUCUAGCGGGCAGGCACUGGGUGGGCACAAGAGGUGCCAUUGGGACAAAGGGGAGGAAGCCGUAUCUUCAUCAAUGAAUCAAGGAGGAGUUGCAAGCAAGGAAGAGGAAGGUUGUGGGUUGGACCUGAACUUGCCUGCUCCAGUUGAAGAUGAAUCAUCCUCUUCUUAUUCAUUAGGCCUCGCCCUAGAUUUGACAUUGGGGCUUUGAAGGGAUAUUAUUGGGAUUUGUACGAAAAUUGGCUUGUAUUAAUAUAUAAAUAUUCCUGUAUCAUUGCUGUUGAUGCUCCAAAAUUGGGAAGCAUAUAUAUGUGUGUGUGUGUGUUAUAUAUAGGAAAAUUAAGUUAAGCUUGGAGAAAACUCUACUGUAAUUUAUUUCAGCGCCAUCUUUGUUGAUUAA